rnacentral:rRNA from 1 species
GUAGGGAAUAUUGGACAAUGGGUGCAAGCCUGAUCCAGCCAUGCCGCGUGCAGGAAGACGGCCUUCUGGGUUGUAAACUGCUUUUUUCAGGGGAUAAAAGGCCCGUGCGCGGGACAUUGAAAGUACCUGGAGAAUAAGCCACGGCUAACUACGUGCCAGCAGCCGCGGUAAUACGUAGGUGGCAAGCGUUGUCCGGAUUUAUUGGGUUUAAAGGGUGCGUAGGCGGCUACUUAAGUCAGUGGUGAAAUACGGCAGCUUAACUGUCGAGGUGCCAUUGAUACUGGGUAGCUUGAGUACUGAUGAGGUAGGCGGAAUGGACGGUGUAGCGGUGAAAUGCUUAGAGAUCGUCCAGAACACCGAUAGCGAAGGCAGCUUACUAAGGAGUAACUGACGCUGAGGCACGAAAGUGUGGGGAUCAAACAGGAUUAGAAACCCCAGUAGUCC